UACGGGGGGAGCAAGCGUUGUUCGGAUUUACUGGGCGUAAAGGGCGCGUAGGCGGCCAGCACAAGUCAGUUGUGAAAUCUCCGAGCUUAACUCGGAACGGUCAACUGAUACUGUGCGGCUAGAGUGCAGAAGGGGCAACUGGAAUUCUCGGUGUAGCGGUGAAAUGCGUAGAUAUCGAGAGGAACACCUGCGGCGAAGGCGGGUUGCUGGGCUGACACUGACGCUGAAGCGCGAAAGCUAGGGGGAGCGAACGGG
rnacentral:rRNA from 1 species